CCUACGGGUGGCUGCAGUGAGGAAUAUUGGUCAAUGGGCGGAAGCCUGAACCAGCCAAGUAGCGUGCAGGAUGACGGCCCUACGGGUUGUAAACUGCUUUUAUACGGGAACAACGCGCCUUACGUGUAGGGCUUUGCGUGUACCGUAUGAAUAAGCACCGGCUAAUUCCGUGCCAGCAGCCGCGGUAAUACGGAGGGUCCGGGCGUUAUCCGGAUUUAUUGGGUUUAAAGGGUGCGCAGGCGGAGGUUCAAGUUUGCGGUAAAAUUUCGGGGCUCACCCCGGCAUUGCCGCGGCAACUGGGGUCCUUGAGUGCGCGGAAAGCAGGCGGAAUGCGUCGUGUAGCGGUGAAAUGCUUAGAUAUGACGAAGAACCCCGAUUACGAAGGCAGCAUGCUGCCGCGCAACUGACGCUGAUGCACGAAAGCGCGGGUAUCGAACAGGAUUAGAUACCCGAGUAGUC
rnacentral:rRNA from 1 species